UGCAAGUCGAGCGGUAGAGAGGUGCUUGCACCUCUUGAGAGCGGCGGACGGGUGAGUAAUGCCUAGGAAUCUGCCUGGUAGUGGGGGAUAACGUUCGGAAACGGACGCUAAUACCGCAUACGUCCUACGGGAGAAAGCAGGGGACCUUCGGGCCUUGCGCUAUCAGAUGAGCCUAGGUCGGAUUAGCUAGUUGGUGAGGUAAUGGCUCACCAAGGCGACGAUCCGUAACUGGUCUGAGAGGAUGAUCAGUCACACUGGAACUGAGACACGGUCCAGACUCCUACGGGAGGCAGCAGUGGGGAAUAUUGGACAAUGGGCGAAAGCCUGAUCCAGCCAUGCCGCGUGUGUGAAGAAGGUCUUCGGAUUGUAAAGCACUUUAAGUUGGGAGGAAGGGUACUUACCUAAUACGUGAGUAUUUUGACGUUACCGACAGAAUAAGCACCGGCUAACUCUGUGCCAGCAGCCGCGGUAAUACAGAGGGUGCAAGCGUUAAUCGGAAUUACUGGGCGUAAAGCGCGCGUAGGUGGUUCGUUAAGUUGGAUGUGAAAUCCCCGGGCUCAACCUGGGAACUGCAUCCAAAACUGGCGAGCUAGAGUAUGGUAGAGGGUGGUGGAAUUUCCUGUGUAGCGGUGAAAUGCGUAGAUAUAGGAAGGAACACCAGUGGCGAAGGCGACCACCUGGACUGAUACUGACACUGAGGUGCGAAAGCGUGGGGAGCAAACAGGAUUAGAUACCCUGGUAGUCCACGCCGUAAACGAUGUCAACUAGCCGUUGGGAGCCUUGAGCUCUUAGUGGCGCAGCUAACGCAUUAAGUUGACCGCCUGGGG
rnacentral:rRNA from 1 species